AAGUCGUAACAAGGUAUCCGUAGGUGAACCUGCGGAUGGAUCAUUAAAAUAGUGGAAGCUUAGCUUCAAAAACACUUAUACAACUUGUGCACUGUGUGGAUAUGGCCUAGGCCUGUCCAUAUUUUUUUACUAAUUAAAUUGAUUUUAGUACACUUAACAAUGUAAAACUUUUAGCAACGGAUCUCUAGGCUCUC
rnacentral:misc_RNA from 1 species